AGAAGACUGGAGGUGAAACUUGACAAAAAACAAUGAGGUGGCAGGUCCAAGUUAUAUAAAAAUACACAUUUACCGUUCAAUUACCAGUUAAUAAUUAUCACAGCAGUUGCAAGGUAUUUACAGUUCCAUAUUUACCUUUAAAUUAACAUUUAAUACAUAUGCUUAAUAUAUAUAUUAAGAAAUUUAUCUAUAAUAAUUAUUGUGGCAUUUACCGUUAAAUUAGCAGUUCAUACAUGUGCUUCUGUUUGGUUAAUUUAUGCUGCAUACAAAGAUAAAAACAUACUAUAUAUAUACAACUGCUUACAAAAAUAAGGAUUAAUGUAUCAUUUCUUUCUAUGUUCAUAAUUUUUUGUUUACAAUAUUGAAAAAAUAUGCCACCAAAGAAAAGACGUAAUCUCUCCAGAAAUAAGCACAAAGCAAGUAGGAUUGUAGAAAACCGAAGGUGAGAGUCUGAAGAGAGAAGCGAGAUUAGAUUUUCUGAAGAUCAGCAAAGGCAUGCUGCAGCACGUCAGACGGGGACACAAGAGAGAAGGAAAACGAGACUUUCCCAAGAUCAGCAAAUGCUUGCUGCAGCACUUAAUACUAGAUCAUUAAAUCAAUGUUCUAAUGAUUAGACAGAGGUCCAAUAGAAUAGGUCUCAGAAACAGACUUACGUACAAGUUCGUUCUUCACAACUCCUGAAGCUGUUUUCAGAUAUGAUCGAUCCCAUUCUUAUAAAAAUGAUAAAUCUGUCUAAAUUGGUGUGAUAAACACAAAUUGUCGCUUCUGUAGAAGUUUAAAAUUUUCAAAUGAAACAAAUGGUGUGUGCUGCUCAGUCGGUCAGGUAACAUUGCAGCACUAAUAGCUCCUUCUCAAUCUCUUAUGGAUCUUCUAGAAGGCACUUCCAUUCAGCCAAAGGAUUUUCUGAACAAUAUCAGACAAUACAACUCUGUAUUUCAAAUGACAUCGUAUACUGCAUCUAAGAAGAUAGUCAAACAUGAAUUUACGCCAACGUCAAAGUUCAAGGGCAAGUCUAUAACCUCAUUGGUUCCCUGUUACCGACAAAUGAACGACCACAGUUCCUCCAAAUUUACUUUAUGACUUUGUGAGUGAUAUAGGACAACAAACCCGAAGGAGGUGUCAACAUUUCAGAUGAUGGAUCGUGUUAGAUACAGCACCAACUGUUGCAAAAGAGAGUAUAUCCACUGACAGCUUUUCGGUGCGUUUAGAAAUCACACAACUCCCACCCCAAUUUUCCAUGACAGGUUAGGGCCUGAAAUACUCCAAACGGAUGCAUAGCAUGCUGCUUAGUCGAAUUAGCCCAUCAUUUACACCACAAAUUUUUUGUUGUCAAUGCUGCACUUUCCCAUAUCAUCUGUUUCAACAUAACUGUAAUAUAUUAUAUACAAACUAUGCCAUUUUAAUCCCGAGCAACGCGCCGAGUAUCUCCGCUAGUAUAUAUAUAUAUAUAUAUAUAUAUAUAUAUAUAUAUAUAUAUAUAUAUAUAUAUAUAUACUAUAUUAUCUCCCGUCGCAGAAGGCGACGUAUAAAUGUUCAGCCUUUGCUGAACGAAGCUGACAAAUGAUUUGUCUAUAGUGAUCAAAUGUAUGUACCGUACAUUAGAUCAAUCCCUUGAUGAAAUCGACGGUGUUGUAACAGAUGCACGGUAUACCAAAUGUCAGGUGUCGAAGUGAUCACAGAACAACAUGAGAUGAAGUGUUUUGCUCGAGAACACAACGCAUCAGCAGGUCCAGGAAUUGCAACUACCAUCUCUCGAUCGGGAGUGCAGCACCCUAAACAUUUUUUCUAUAUACUUCCUUCUCGUCUUUUCUCGUUUCUUCUCUCGUUCAACUUUUAGUUUGUUAUGCCAUGUGGGCUGUGCCUGAUGACUGUGCCAAGAUGUCAAACGUGUAAUAAAACUUAGUUUGGCAUGUUCUCAGCACAAGAAACUAUAAGUAGCACAUAAAAACAUGUAUUAUGUCUAUCAAAUAAUAUUUAUCUCUCGCAAGAUAGAGUACUUUUUUGUUGAUCUUACCUUCACGGAACAGUACAUUAUGUAUAUAUGUAUGUAUGUAUGUAUUUGUAAGCAUAUGUGUGUGUAUAUAUAUAUAUAUAUAUAUAUAUAUAUAUAUAUAGUGAGAUAUUUUUCCCCAAACUCCUCGAUAAAUGUGUUCAUAUAACGACAUUGAAUAUAUACAGCAAAAUAAUAAACGGAAUAAAAUCAACUUCUAACACACGAUAUGAAGCAAAUGUUUUUAUAAAAAAUGUUAUGUGGUACAUAUUUGAUUUUUUUUAUAUUAUCUGAUCCAAAUAUUUCUUUCUUUUUUUAAAAAAUACUUCGUUGCUCUUUAGGUGCCGAUAAUUAUGGGUAAUCGUCGAUUGAUAGUUCUGCUGAUAUUUAUAUUUAGAUAUUUUUUAGUAUUUUUAGGCUCCUCCAUUGAGAGGUUUCUACCCGUGGACCGAAGCUAAUUCAGAGAAAUUCCCCGGUUUGUUUUAGAACAGUCAUGAGCAACAUUUUUCAAAUAGCGGGUCGCAUGAGACAUGAAUCAUCAGGCGGACCGCACUGCUAAAGAACUUCAACAUUCUUGUUGGCGUGCCAUUCAGACAGUCAUGCGGACUGUAUGCAGGCCACAUGCGGCUAUAUGCGGGCUGAAGUUUGCCCAUGAUUAAUUUAGAUCAGUGGUUCUCUAUCAUUUUUCAUUUAAGAACCUCUUAGAUUCCUGUUUUAUUUGGGUGGACCCUCAAAGCCAUUUGAUGUGUAAAAAUGAUUCUAUUACACAGUUCUAUAUUUAAGAGAUGAGGAAUUAUGUACAUUAUUUACAUUCGACGGAUAUUUGUCCUCAUCUUUGUUGUUAACACAAGGUUUCGGUUGAUAUACCCUCCAGCCCUCUUCAGGUGUCUUGGGGAAUUUUCGAACGUGGGUUCUCAUUUCUAAGGUAUUUUUCGAUGUUGUUGUUGUUAUUAUUAUCAUUAUUAUUAUUAUUAUUAUUAUUGUUCAGGUCACGGAUUAGAAUCGAACUUGGAAUCUUGAGGUUAGUAGCCCGCGCUCUUAACUACUACGCCAUAUGCCCGUGGGCAUGAUCCUAUUAUAUUUUCAUAAUGAAAUAUGAUUAUAAAAUGUAAACCGAUUUAUUGCACAUAAAUUUUAACAGCAAAAUCUUCUAUGGACCCCCAAAGGUUAUAUGGACCCUGGUUGAGAACCACAGAUUAAGAGCUUUCUGUGAGUAUAGUCUUCCUUGAUGUCAAUAUGUCUAUAUAUUGUAGGACGGCGAGUUGGUAGAAUCGUUAACGUGGCGGGCAAAAUGCUAAGAGGCAUUUCGUUUGUCUUUACAUUCUAGAUCCUUUCGGGGUCGAUGAAAUAAAUACCAGUUGAACACUGGGAUCGAUGUAACCACCUUAGUUCCUUCCCCGAAAUUUCUGGCUUUGUGCCAAAAUUUGAAAUUAAUCUGUCUAUAUAGUGUUACAUUCUAACCACUUUAACAGAUUUAUUCUGUUACUAUUUUCCAUUUUAUUACGUGAUUGGUCUUGUUUUUGUUAUUGACAUGUUUUAACCUCGGGUCAUCCCUGACUGAACAAACCUAUGACUAAUGACAUUCCAGCUGUAAUCAUCCCAAGUUUUUAGACCAACUAUAGCGUAUUUCAGAUUAUAUCGUAAUUAUGAUUCCCCUAUUUUUAGACGACAGCAGGGUGUAAUAUGAAGUUGAUAUUGCAAACCAAAUAAACGCGUGUAGGUUUGCCAAUAACUGAAUAUCUGUUGUUUCUUAAUAUUUUGAUAUCUUAAUAUCUUUGCCUGUGGCCUAUUCUAAUGAUAUUAUGAGAAUUUAACGGAGGUGGUUACAAGCUGCCCACUGCUUUCACCUUUUCAAAUAUUCAAUUUAGUCCAGCUUUAGACACACAACUCGAUCUGUAAGAAAUAUUAAAAUCUCUCAUAAAUCACAACGAAUCACAAUGUAUCUUGAAAGAAAAAGUAUUGAUAGGUGAUAUAGUCCAAGGUAUGCAAUGCUGGAGGGAAAAGACUGCGAGCUGGUAGAAACGUUAGCACUCCGGGCGAAAUGCUUAGCAGUAUUUCGUCUGCAGUUACGUUCUGAGUUCAAAUUCCGCCGAGCUCGACUUUGCCUUUCAUCCUUUCGGGGUCGAUAAAUUAAGUACCAGUUACGCACUGGGGUCGAUGUAAUCGGCUUAAUCCGUUUUUCUCUCCUUGUUUGUCUUCUCUGUGUUUAGCCCCUUUUGGGUAGUAAAGAAAUAGGUAUGCAAUACUGGAGGGAAAGACGGGAUGAUCAGGAAUGGGUAAUGGACUUUUGGUCAUAGAUCUGCUCACUCGGAACUAAUCUAAUGUCAAACAACCCUUAUGUAACAUAUUUUCUUUGUUUCUGGUGUACUGGAAUUAAUCAUCGGCUGUAAACCAAUUUAUUGCACAUAAAUUUUAACAGCAAAAUCUUCUAUGGACCCCAAAGGUUAUAUGAACCCUGGUUGAGAACCACCGAUUAAGAGCUUUCUGUGAGUAUAGUCUUCCUUGAUGUCAAUAUGUCUAUAUAUUGUAAGACGGCGAGUUGGUAGAAUCGUUAACGUGACGGGCAAAAUGCUAAGAGGCAUUUCGUUUGUCUUUACAUUCUAGAUCCUUUCGGGGUCGAUGAAAUAAAUACCAGUUGAACACUGGGAUCGAUGUAAUCACCUUAUUCCUUCCCCGAAAUUUCUGGCUUUGUGCCAAAAUUUGAAAUUAAUCUGUCUAUAUAGUGUUACAUUCUAGAUGUAGUUACUCCUGAUUUAAACAUUUAGUGUACUCACGAAGAAAUCCUCUAUUUCUUCGAUAUUUUUUCCUUCUAAAUUGCCUUUUGCUGAUUUUGAAAAAUAAUAUUCAUCUCGAGAUUCAACUUGAGAGCUUAAUCUAUAUUUUGUACACAGAGAACAGGAUUACCCCCAACUGUAAUACCUUCCUACACGAUCUGUGGCCAGGAUCAUAUAUUAUUGUUUUAUCGCGUGGGUUGGUAGAAUCACUUGAGGCGUUAAACUUUUACUAUUUGGUUUCAAGUUUCAUUGAAUAAAACUUUGUUUCAUACUCUCAGAGUUUAUGAAAUAAUCAUGAAUAUAGCACUCGAGGAAAUUUAAAGACUACACCGUACACCACCCUCCCAGAUUGCUUUGGGGCUUGCAAUUAUGUUAGAAAUCACUAUCAUUAUUCUUUUCUGUUUUAUCAGAGUAUUAGAUUGGCAGAAUCGUUAGGCGGUAUCAGUCAAAAUUCUAAAAUUCUUUGCGAUGUUAAGUUAAGGGUCUUUACGUUCAAUUUUUGCAUUUUAUUCUAUCGGGAUCGCUAAAAUAAAGUACCGGCUUCUAUUUGUUUUAUUGUUCCUCCCUACAAAAUUUUAGGGCUUGAACUUGUAUUCCUUCCAAGUUUUUGUACCAGGCCAGCAAUUGUGGGGGAGGGGACUAGUCGGUCACAUCGAACCAGUAUUCACCUGAUACUUAUUUUAUCGAUUCCGAAAGGAUGAAAGGCAAAGUCGACCUCGGCGGAAUUUGAACUCAGAACGUAAAGACUGACAAAAUGCCGCUAAAUAGUUCGCCUGACGUGCUAACGAUUCUGCUCGCCACCUUAGGCGUAGAUGGAUGGAAGCACUCCGUCGGUUACGACGACGAGGGUUCCGGUUGAUCCGAUCAACGGAACAGCUUGCUCGUGAAAUUAACGUGCAAGUGGUUGAGUAUUCCACAGACACGUGUACCCUUAACGUAGUUCUCGGAGAUAUUCAGCGUGACACAGAUAGUGACAAGGCCGGCCCUUUGAAAUACAGGUACAACAGAAACAGGAAGUAAGAGUGAGAGAAAGUUGUGGUGAAAGAGUACAGCAGGGAUCACCACCAUCCCUGCCGGAGCCUCGUGGAGCUUUAGGUGUUUUCGCUCAAUAAACACUAACAACGCCCGGUCUGGGAAUCGAAACCGCGAUCCUACGACAGCGAGUCCGCUGCCCUAACCACUGGGCCAUUGCGCCUCCACUCUUAGGCGUAGAACCUAUAUUAAGAACAGUUAUAAUUCUUAUUAAGAGAUUGUUACGUUAAAAGAAUCGUUUGAGUGUUGGAGAAAAUGCUUUGUGGUAUUAAGUUAUGGUUAUUUGCAUUCCUAUCCCGUUGAGGUCAACUUUAAUUUACAUUCUUUUGGGGGUGGGGGGUCAAUAAAAUAAAGUACCAGUAAAAUACUGGGGUCGAUUUAAUUUACUUAGCCCUUUUCCAACAAAAUCUUUAACUUUUGCCUAUCAAAGAAAUUGUUAUUAUUGUUGUUAUUAUUAUUAUUAUUAUUAUUAUUAUUAUUAUUAUUAUUAUUAUUAUUGCUGUUAUUAUUGUUAUUAUUUUUAUUAAGGCGGUAAGCUGGCAGUAUCGUUAGUACGCCGGGCAAGAUGCUUAGCGGUAUUUCGUUUUGAGUUCAAAUUCCGCCGAGGUCGACUUUUCCUAUCAUCCUUUCGGGGUCGAUAAAUUAAGUACCAGUGAAACACUGGGAUCGAUAUAAACCACUAGCCCCCUCCCCCAAAAUGUCAAGCCUUGUACCUAUAGAAGAAAGGAUUAUUAUGUGAUGAAAACUCACACCAUAUUUUGCUGGGUAUGAUGGAAUGUGUCAGCUGUACACAGCCAGCAGACUUAGGUGACUCUUGUUUACUGGUCAUGCCUCAAAAACCCUCGAAGAAUUUCUGCAGUUCCAAGCAAUGCUGAUUUUUGUAGGUGCCCUACCUUCACACUUGCACCAAUCUUUUUCAGUCAUGUUGGCAGUUGAGUGCUGAUACUUCCAAUUACUAUUGGUACCACAUCUACUCCCCUCAUCGACAACGACCAUCGCAUUUUCCACUUCAAAUCGUCAUAGUUGUUUAUCAGAUGAAAAUACCUUGUUGUAGAAUGCCAAUUUACUUCCUGAGCUCAAAUCCUGCCGAAGUUGACAUUACAUUUCAUUCUUCCGAGAUCGAUAAAAUGAAUACCUAUCCAGUACCAAGAUCGAUCAAGUCAAUUAUACCUUGAUCCAGAUUGUAAGACAGUGGAUUGGCGGUACUUGUUGAGCUGUAAUCAAUAUCUUUAUAUAUAAAAGUGAAGUUGUGUGUCUGUCUCCUACGAUUUAGAUUCCUAACUACUCCCACAUUUUGCGGUGCAGUUUAACCAAAACCGGGUAUCUUAUAGUCGUGAUUCAUAUUGAGCCCUUCUGGGUAUUAGCGCGCGUCUACAAUCAGUCUACGAUUAAAAAAAAAAUUACCAUCAUUUUUUUCCAUUUUAAUGCAUUUUUUUGCUAUUAUAUAAGGGAAGUAACUCUCUAAAAAUGUCUACGAUGAGUCAACGAUUUAAAAAAAAAUUUACCAUCAUUUUUUUUUCCAUUUUUAAUGCAUUGUUUUGCUAUUUUUUGGCUAUAACUCUCUAAAAAUGCUUAUAUAGUUAUUUCCCUUACAAACCCGAGCAACGCCGGGCGAUACUGCUAGUUAUUAAUAAAAUGGUGGAUGAUUGACUCAGUAGAGAAAUCCUUAUUCUGAUAAAUAUAAUAGCGGCAGUAUGGUAGAAUCAUUAGGACGGCAUUUUGUUGUGCCUCCUUCCGGUUUGGAUUCACAUAUCAUUGAAGUUGUUUUUGUAUUUCAUCAGUCAGGAAACAGUAAAACAAUUAUUACUCAUAUAAUAGGGAUUCCACUUGGUUUCAAUAACUUGAACCGCCUGCUAAUUGAAUUAUAGCGUAAGUGGCUGAGUAUUCAACAGGUAUAUAUAUAAUAUAUAUAUAUAUAUAUAUAUAUAUAUAUAUAUAUAUAUACUAGCAGUAUCGCCCGGCGUUGUUCGGGUUUGUGAGGGAAAUAACUAUAUAAGCAUUUUUAGAGAUGUAAAGUAUAAUAGCCAUCUCAAUAUGGCUAACUACAAAGGGGUGGGGUGUUACUGUAGCUUUUUACGUUCUGAGAUUUAAUAAAUUUUUAGAGAGUUACUUCCCUUAUAUAUGCCAAAAAUGCAUUAAAAAUGGGAAAAAUUGAUGGUAAUUUUUUUUUUAAAUCGUAGACUCAUCGUAGACGCGCGCUAAUACCCAGAAGGGCUCGAUAUGAAUCACGACUAUAAGAUACCCGGUUUUGGUUAAACUGCACCGCGAAAUGUGGGAGUAGUUAGGAAUCUAAAUCGUAGGAGACAGACAGCACACGACCUCUCUUUUAUAUAUAAAGAUAUAUAAAUACCUUUAACUCUUUUAUUGCAUAAAUCAGAUUUCUUCACUGAAAUUUUCAACGCUCUUUACUGCGGAAAGCAAUUUUAUAUAUCAGUCUAUUGUUUAGGAAUUAAGAUAUCUUUUGUUGAGACAUGUCAAGUUUAUUGAAGCAAUGGGACUUGCAGAAAAUACCAAUUCUCAAGGGCUUCUACACAGCUUCCGUCUAAUCAAUGUCACCCACAAGCCUUUGAUCGAGGCGAAGCUAUAGUAAAAGACCCUAGUUGAAGAUGCCACGUUGUAGGAUCAAACUCGGGACCUGGUGAUUGCAAUGCGAACUUCUUAAUUAUUCGGUUAUGCUACGUCUACUAGUUAUGUACUCGGUUUGAUUUAAUCACCUAAACCACCGUCUUCCACACAAAAAUGUAUUGUAGUCUUGUGCCUAAGUUAGACAUCUUUAUUUUUUAGCUUUACGAAUACCUAUCGUACUGUAGAGUUUACUUUAUCCUUUAGUCAGGAGGGAAGGCAGUGACGUUGACUGCUUAUGGGUUUUCCCAGACUUGUGUAAAGAAGGAAUGAAGGUAUCCUCAAGAAGGAGACCUUUCCAAAUGCUUGCAAUAGAGUACACUCCACUAAAAACAUUCAAGGCGCUAGACAGUGCUGCUAAAUCGGGUGACUGAUUAAAUCUAUCAUCUAAAUAGGCCAUGGCAAGAUUUGAACUCAGGACGCAAAAGGCCAGAAGAAACACCAUAAAAAAAUCGAUCCCAAGAUUGUGGAAGGCAAAAUUGACCUCGGUGGAAUUUGAUAUCAGGAUACAGAGAAUCAGAACAAAUACGGCAAGUAUUACUCUAUGACGCUAUAACAACUUUGCCACUUCAUCGUUGAUAACACGUAUUUUGACAUAAUAUUCCUUGCAGACAUACACAGCAUAUCUAGUUCCACUUUUUUCCAAUUAAUGAUUACUGAAUUUUAGCAAACAAUUGAUACUAUCAAGACAUUAAUUGCUUCAAGAUCGAUAAAAUACGUAUUUCUAAUAGAUUCAUGCACGAGAUAUAACUGUGUGUUGCUGGAACAAGUGUAGCAUUUUGUUGUUUUGUUGUUGUUGCUGCUGGUUGAGUUACUACUAAUUUUAUAUAUUCUUAUAUUUUUUCUGUAGCAGCAAGCUCACCUCUGUGCAACUCAGAGAUAUACAUUUUUGUCUAUGUGCAAAUGUGUUGAGAGAAAAACUCCACAUAAAAUGUAUGCUGUGGUUAGUAGUCUACUAUUUUUUAUGUGUGCAAAUAAAUGAUGCCAGUUUGUGAUUUUAUCUCUGUUUAUCUUUGUUUCUGUUGUAAUGGGGCUAUUAUAACAGCUUAAUGUACUAAUCUCACGCAUAUAGUUUACCACAAUCUUAAAAUCCCUUUUAUUGUCAUAGUUCUCAACUAACACUUUGAGAGCAAUAUACUGAUCGGAAGAGAUCAAUAUGUCGAUAUCUCUUCUUCCCAGUUAUAACAAUAAGACCUGGGAAGUGCUCUCUUAUUUUCUUUUUCAGUUUACUCAAGUUUGCCCCAGAGUGUUGUAACUUCCUUAUUUUCAGCAGCAGUUAUUGUUAAGUGUUCACACUAUUUGCAUAGUGAGCUAACAGAGGGCUCCCAUCAUCGUAGUGAUCCGUGAUUCUAAGAAACUUUGGGAAGGCCAAUCGAUGCGCAUCUUCACUGCUUAUGCAAUUCCUGCCCAGGACUUUGAAAGAUUUGCUGCAGAGAGAAAGCUAAGGCAAAGAGUUACCUAUGGCGUUAUGCAACAGUUUGAAGCUGAACGCACAGAGCAAAAGGAUGAGCGAACAACGCGUCACGAAUGCCAUAUUCAGUCACCAAAUACAAUAGAGUUCUUCAGCCAUGUCUAGCUUGUCCUCGGAUCUGUCUCUUUCGUAUUUAUUCUAUUUACGUACUCACUAGCGGCUUGGUGGCACUGGAGGAUGUAGAAGGAUAAAUUCGUCACCGAAUCGAUGGCCAGCUAGCCAGCCAGCCAUCUCGCCAGCUAGUAAAGCAACCAUAUUGUCUACCUAGAUUUAGUAGUGUUUAUUAUCCAAAGAAUAUGAUUCUUACCCGGUCCAAAAGUAAAUAGUCCGAGACGAUGUAGUCAAUCAUUUUGUGGUAUUAAACACUGUCUCUCUGUCUGUCUUUCUCUCUUUCUCUCUCUCUUUCUCCCUCUCUCUUGAUUGGUUAACUCUUAUCUUCUGCAGCCAUUAUAAAACUUCUCUGAAUUUUUGGGUGGAUUUAGUAACUCGUUUUUUUUAAUAUGUUUCACAUUACCCGACUCCUGUGUACUAAGACUGGGGAGGAGUUCCUCUUUUAGCUCACCUUGCAAGGAUUUACUGUGUCACUUCUGUUUCUUGCUUCAUUUCUUUUCAAUUCUCUUUUCUGUCUGUGACAACUUCUAUAUUUCCACUCUUUGUUCUCUAAUUACUUUCUUAUCUAGGUCAAGCAUAAAUUGAUGAUACAAUUUGAAUGAAAUACAAUGUGUAUCUUUAUAUGCAACAUAACCUAGCAUUAUCUUUUACAAUGGAUAUUAUCUACUCUGGAAAGGCCAAAAGUUAAAAUGAAGUCUAAAACAGAACUGUGCCUAUCUGAGCUAGGUAGAAGUUUGCUUUUAACACCAUUUAAAAACUGUUUUACGAAAAUAGCUGAGUUUUCAUUAAUUUUCAAUAUAACUUUAUCAGAGGAGCAUUAAGAGCUAAUAACAAGACAGAGUCGUAGCAUUAAAUACUCGUGCACUUCUUUAAAAGAGAACAGAGUAUUAUAUUUUUUGUACACAUGAAAUGAAUGCAAAAAGAUAAUUAGAAUUUGUAAAAAAAUAAAUAUUUACUAUUUACUAAAAAAUAAACAUUUAUUAUACAGCAGGCUCACUUUAAAAGUAAAUAAUUAUUUCACUUUUAUAGACAACUAGCAGCAUAGCCCGGCAUUGCCCGGGUAUGUAAGAGCCCCUGGAGCAGACAUGAUGCUCGCUGUGAAUUUUAAAAAAAUUCCUGCCAAUUUGAGAAAGAUAUUGUCGAAAAUAUGUCAUCUUGAAUUUGAACGCGAUUUCCCAAAAUGGCAUGAUUUUAUCGAUUUUUCUGAUGGUAAGGUAUUGCAUGGAAAACUAAUGUCAGAAUUAAGUUUCUUAGGGUAACAUUAAGCUUCACCAUAAGUUUGAUGAAAAUCGAUUGCAAGUUGCGAAAACUACAACAGAAAAUAUGUUGCAUAUAAAAAGCUUAGAUUCUCGACCCCAUGUCGAAUUUAUCGAUUUUUUCAGAACUGGGGGAACUUUUCAAAAUUUUCGCUGCGUUAGUUUUGAAUUAUGACAUUGGGCUAUGUGUGUGUCAAGUUUCAUCAGAAUCGGUUGAAAGCCAUGGUCAGGGUGAGGGUACAACCUGACAGACACACAGACACACAGACAGACAAACUGCCGUUUAUAUAUAGAGAGAUAAUAUUAAUAUAAAUAAUUCCACCGAUACGUUUAGCCACGACAAUAACAGCAAAACAUACAUGCAGAUUUUGCCAAACGAAAGAAUCCUGAAAUUGUUUGUCAGCAUUAGUAGAAGAAAUUUACCUUGUCAUUUGCUAACGCUACCAGAAACAGGCAGAUUCUAGAUAUAAACCAUUUAACUGAGAAAGAAAACUGUUUGACUGUACUAUGUAACCAAUGCAAACGUGUUUUUGCUAGAAGCCACAACACAAAUACGAAAAAAAGAAAAAGAAAUAACUUAUUUUUGCAUUUCCAAAGGUUACAUUCUUGAGGUGUCAAAUAUCUUUCUUACAGGCAUUGAUGUGCCGUGCAAAAUUUUUCAGAAGAGUCAGAAAAUUCCCCUCGAUAUCUUCACCUAAUCAUUUAAACAUUUUGCAAACGUCCUUAAAGCUACAAUUACAACUGAAACGGCGAAAUUUUACGGCAUUUCCACAUUCUCUAAUGUUCAUGUUUUAGGUUUCAGUAUGUUUCUAUUUUCUCAAAUUUUUACCUACCACUCUAAUAUCAGACAGGUAAGCAACAUUGCAAAAGCAACACACUUUUUCAUUUACAUUGAGUAUCACAGUAUCACAGUAUCACAGCAAUCGCCCCGUUCGCCUACCUGAUUGACUUAUCACAUUCCAUAGCACUUUUGCAUGAUCUUUUUUAAGGACGUGUUGUUUUAUGGUCUUAACAUUUUACACAUUUUCAAAUACAAUUUUUUUUACAAAUUCCCAAUGCAUGAUUUUAACAAUUUUGUCAUGUCUCCAGUUCUUAUAAAUCCUUUGAGUAAGCAUUCUACAUUCAGAAGUAACACGUGCAACCAAUUCUCUUUCAUUGCACAUUCUACAUGCAGCCAAAAUGUAUUUUUUAUCUGUUUGUUUGAUGUAUCUUAUUCUGGCUGAUUGAUUUACCCAUCUACGAUUAACCCGUCUUUCUCUUCAAAAUCUCCAUCUUUAAGCAUUGAAAUGAUUUUUGGUUUUGAUACUCUUCAGUACUUUGAGCAGAAUUUCCAAGUAAGCCUUUCUACUCAUAUCGUUGCUUUCUAACUCCAAGAAAGUCAACUUCUCCGUUCAUUUAGCUUAAUAUUCCCCCACUCUUACCGCUACCAAAGGUACCACAUCACUGGCAGCAAUGUCUGUUUUUUUCUACCUACUCCCGUUAUCAGUUUUCUAUCCUUGUCAGUCAGAUCCACCCAUCUCUUCUGUUGGAAUACAAUCUGUCAGCAUCCGCUCAUGAGUGUAAGGCUCAGUUGACUGUCAACAAUUUCCUUGUUUUUCUAUGUACCUUCUGAAACUGACACUCGCAUUUUUCUGCUUUUUUUUAUUGUCAAUCUCAUAGAAUUUCUUAAUAUUUAAAAACCCAUUGAAUCUUUCAAUACCCUAAGACCUGGGGUUAAUGGUAUCGACGGAAAUCUUCCCAUAUUUGGCGUUCAACUGAGGAUAUUGCAAUUAUAAUUCAUUAUCGGAAAAGUUAAAGUAUUGAUACCGAUCGCCUUAUUUAUUUUCUUUUUUCUCUUUGGCAUUUGCUGUUGUUUUUACUAUCAAUCUACUAUUAUUGUUGUUGUUAUUAUUAUUAUUGCAGUGCAGGCCAUCGAAGUGACACUGAGGUAAAAUAUAAGAAGCUCAGUAUACCUAUCAUGACAACCCAUCUGAUAAGGGUACAUCAAGCACAUGCAUCACAACCAUUGUUGUUGUUGUUAUUAUCAACAUACAGGUGGCUUUGAGAUAUCUUUGUGAAAUAUUCAGAUUUAACAUUACUUGAUGGAAAAGUGAGUUUUUUAAAAUUAAAUUAAUUUAACAACAACUUAUGUAUAAGACGUUCGCACUACAACAUAUAUAAGUAGCGAUGACAAGAACCUUAACAACAGUUUUUUAAUGUCACUAACCUAUUUUGUUUUGUCGUUUCUGGUAUCUUUUGUCUGUUGUAUAGAAUUUUUGGAAGCACUCCGUCGGUUACGACGAUGAGUGUUCCGGUUGAUCCGAAUCAACGGAACAGCCUGCUCGUGAAAUUAACGUGCAAGUGGCUGAGCACUCCACAGACACGUGUACCCUUAAUGUAGUUCUCGGGGAUAUUCAGCGUGACACAGAGAGUGACAAGGCCGGCCCUUGAAAUACAGGUACAACAGAAAUAGGAAGUAAGAGUGAGAGAAAGUUGUGGUGAAAGAGUACAGCAGGGAUCACCACCAUCCCCUGCCGGAGCCUCGUGGAGCUUUUAGGUGUUUUCGCUUAAUAAACACUCACAACGCCCGGUCUGGGAAUCGAAACUGCGAUCGUAUGACCGCGAGUCCGCUGCCCUAAACACUGGGCCAUUGCGCCUCCACUCGAUGUAUAGAAUACGUACAAUAUGAGUGGUGUUAUUUUGUUUGGUGAUUAUUUAGUAGUUGUAUAAAGCAGUUUUAUCCCGAUUUUAAUGUUCGUCAGUUUUAGAAUACCCCAACGUAAACUUGUGUAUUAUAACAAAUACUGCACAGAUGUAAUAUAAUUCAACAUUUACUGUAGAGUGUUGUUAUAGAUUUAGUUUUGAUGAGCUAAAGUUGUUUUGUCAGCUUUAAAUUAGGGAUAUGUCAUUUACUCUUUGACAAAGCUAGUCUAAUAUCUCUACUUGGAAGUUUCUAGUCUUGGACUUGAUGCGGUACAUUGUCGAGAAUCUAAGUUCAUAGAUGUACGUUGUGUGAUAUGGAACAAUUACAUCAAUAGCCAGAAUCAUUAGGGUUGCAAUCCUAUCGCUUCCUGCUGAAGCCCUUCCUCCAAAUUCAAUAUUCCUGGAACCGUCAAAUGUGUUAUGAAUCACAGAAACAUUUCUCGACUUCAAGAAUUCAUCUUCUGCACAGUUCUUGUCAGAAAAGAUGUUACUGCAACCUAGAAAUUACUGUUUUAUACACGCAGUGCUCAUGCGUGUAUAAAACAGGUACCUGGUGACCUAAAUGGGUGAGCGUUUGUUCUUUGUGAAGACGUCAGGAGCAAUUUCAGGCACCGAACACUGAACCUCUUUGCAAUAAAGCAAUGGAUUUAGACGCAGUUUGAAUUCAAAAACUAUAUUUCGAACGUUAGAGUUUCAAAAUUCUCAGUCUAAGAACUGAUUGUAUGUGGCAAAUAGUUUGCUGCCCACUCUUAUGAUUUCGGAUUCAGUGCCACUGCAUGGCACCUUGGGCAAGUGUCUUCCACUAUAGCAUUGGAACGACCAAAAAUCUGUUACUGGAUAAAAUAAACAGAAACUGAACAAUGUCUAUCACAUACAUUGUUGUUGUUGUGACCCCCUUCGGUCAUGAAUGACCAUGGGAUUGCACCUAGAAAGUUACUCUCCGAGGCACAAAUCCGGUCAAGGUUGUUUGUGGAAGGCCAGCAGAUGCCCAUGCAUACCAGCCUCCCCUCUCCACGCCACCGAUGUUAUCCAAGGGAAAGGCAAAGGCCGAAACAGCUUGGC
rnacentral:lncRNA from 1 species